GCUAGGCGCAGUGGCACACGCCUGUAAUCCCAGUGACUCAGGAGGCUGAGGCAGGAGGAUUGCAAGUUCAAAGCCAGCCUCAGCAACAGUGAGGUGCUAAGCAACUCACUGAGACCCUGUCUCUA
rnacentral:sRNA from 1 species